ACCCAAUGAGCAAAGGCACAAGCCAACAAGUCAAACUCAAAUGAGCUAAAAACCCUACAAAACACACAAGGUUAGUAGUCAAAAGUAAACAUCAAAGGCUCAAGUGAUAGAGCAUCAACAACUAUGGAACUUGAAUGCUCAACCUGAAAUCAAAGCUCAAACAUGAGAGGCAAACCACUAGGUCAAAGCCUAGGGUCACAGAUGGAGAAAAA
rnacentral:lncRNA from 1 species